UACGGAGGAGGCAAGCGUUAUCCGGAAUUAUUGGGCGUAAAGCGUCCGUAGGUGGUGGUUCAAGUCUGCUGUCAAAAACUGGGGCUUAACCCCAGGAAGGCGGUGGAAACUGAAGCGCUAGAGUGUGGUAGGGGUAGAGGGAAUUCCCGGUGUAGUGGUGAAAUGCGUAGAGAUCGGGAGGAACACCUGUGGCGAAGGCGGCCCCCUGGGCCGGGCCUGACACUGAGACGCGAAGGCGUGGGGAGCGAACGGG
rnacentral:rRNA from 1 species